UACGUAGGGGGCAAGCGUUGUCCGGAUUUAUUGGGCGUAAAGAGCGUGUAGGCGGCCAGGUAGGUCCGUUGUGAAAACUCGAGGCUCAACCUCGAGACGCCGAUGGAAACCAUCUGGCUAGAGUCCGGAAGAGGAGAGUGGAAUUCCCGGUGUAGCGGUGAAAUGCGCAGAUAUCGGGAGGAACACCCGUGGCUAAGGCGGCUCUCUAGUACGGUACUGACGCUGAGACGCGAAAGCGUGGGGAGCGAACAGG
rnacentral:rRNA from 1 species